AACGAACGCUGGCGGCAUGCCUAACACAUGCAAGUCGAACGAAGCCUUCGGGCUUAGUGGCGCACGGGUGCGUAACGCGUGGGAAUCUGCCCCUUGCUUCGGAAUAACAGUUAGAAAUGACUGCUAAUACCGGAUGAAGUCUUCGGACCAAAGAUUUAUCGGCAAGGGAUGAGCCCGCGUAGGAUUAGGUAGUUGGUGGGGUAAAGGCCUACCAAGCCGACGAUCCUUAGCUGGUCUGAGAGGAUGAUCAGCCACACUGGGACUGAGACACGGCCCAGACUCCUACGGGAGGCAGCAGUGGGGAAUAUUGGACAAUGGACGCAGGUCUGAUCCAGCAAUGCCGCGUGAGUGAUGAAGGCCUUAGGGUUGUAAAGCUCUUUUACCAGGGAUGAUAAUGACAGUACCUGGAGAAUAAGCUCCGGCUAACUCCGUG
rnacentral:rRNA from 1 species